AUACGGAGGGUGCAAGCGUUAAUCGGAAGUACUGGGCGUAAAGCGUACGUAGGCGGUUCGUUAAGUUAGAUGUGAAAGCUCCGGGCUUAACCUGGGAACUGCAUUUAAAACGGGCGAACUAGAGUUGAGUAGAGGGGAGUGGAAUUUCAGGUGUAGCGGUGAAAUGCGUAGAGAUCUGAAGGAACACCAGUGGCGAAGGCGACUCCCUGGACUCAAACUGACGCUGAGGUACGAAAGCGUGGGUAGCAAACGGGAUUAGAAACCCUAGUAGUCC
rnacentral:rRNA from 1 species